CGUAGGUGGCGAGCGUUGUCCGGAUUUACUGGGCGUAAAGGGAGCGUAGGCGGUUUUUUAAGUGGGGUGUGAAAUCCCUGGGCUUAACCCAGGAAUUGCAUUCCAUACUGGAAGACUAGAGUGCAGGAGAGGAAAGUGGAAUUCCAAGUGUAGCGGUGAAAUGCGUAGAGAUUUGGAGGAAGACCAGUGGCGAAGGCGACUUUCUGGACUGUAACUGACGCUGAGGCUCGAGAGCGUGGGGAGCAAACAGGAUUAGAUACCCUGGUAGUCCACGCUGUAAACGAUGAAUACUAGGUGUAGGGGGCGAAGCCCUCUGUGCCGCAGUUAACACAUUAAGUAUUCCGCCUGGGGAGUACGAUCGCAAGAUUA
rnacentral:rRNA from 1 species